rnacentral:ribozyme from 1 species
GGAAUCAAAACCUCGCAAACAGGCGCCCUACUCACUAUCGUUCAAUAAGAGAAAUGGCAGAGAUUUUGCCAAAGAGGAUGCGCGCAAAGCGGUACAUGUCGCAAUCAACAAAGCAUAUCAAACCGCUAUGGAAGGUGAUCACA